CACGGAGCUUGCACUGUUGAGCAUCCAGGACUAGAACUGCAUUUUGGGAAGAUCACAGUGACCACACCGUGGCGGGGGACAGAGAGGAGCUGGCUGCCGGAGCGGGCACAAUGUCAUGGGGGACAUGAUUCACAAAGUUUCUAAGUUCCCUCCACUCCUACACCCUGGCUUCCUGCUCACUGACUCAGGGUAUGGUGACUGGCUUACCUCCGUCAAAAGAAGGGGACUUGUACAGGCCAGGCCCCGGCCAGCCAGAGGCCUUCCACACCUGCACUCAAGCGCUCUAUCUGGUGUUGGAUUCUUGGACUUCUGACUUGCCUUGUAAGCAGCCCCAAGCUGGAACCCACCCAGAAGCCUGAAGAGUUCCAUGAUCCCCUGGAGAAUCUACAGACCUAUGAGCCAGAAAUAAACAUUUGUUGUUAUAACCUUUGAGAUACAGUCUUAUCAUCAGAAAGCAGAAGACAGAAAUAACAGUUGGUCUAUGUUUAAGAGAAUAAGAAUCAUAUUAAUGAUGGCUGAUGUUUAUUGAGCAUCAUUAUAAAUGAGCCACUGUUCUAAGUGUUUAAAUGAAUUAUACUCAAUUAUCAGAAUCAUCCUGGGAGCCACAAAGAGGGUAAGGAACUUGCCUGAGAUUACACAGCAAAAGACAGUGGAGUUUCUGGACUGUGGGCGGUGGUGGCGCACGCCUUUAAUCCUAGCACUUGGGAGGCAGAGGCAGGCGGAUCUCUGUGAGUUCGAGGUCAUCCUGGUCUACAAUGCAAGUUUCAGGACAGCCAAGGCUACACAGAGAAACCCUGUCCCAAAAAACAAAAAAGAAAGAAAGAAAGAAGGGAGGGAGGGAGGGAGGGAGGGAGGGAGGGAGGGAGGAAGGGAGGAGGAGAAGAGGGGGAGGAAGGAAGGAAGGAAGGGUGACGUCACCCCUAAAUCCAGGUAGCUAGCCUCAGGAAAGAACAAGCCAACAUGAAAGCCCACAGAUGUCCUGUGAAAUGUCCUCUGAGAUGACCUCUCCACUAUGAAGUGCCUAAGAAAGUAAGCCCAGGGAAUUGGUCAUUCUCUGCAUACAUUCCAGCUGAGACCAGUCCUUUAUAGAGAACCCCACAAAAGAUGGAUGGCAUGCACCCUAGAACCACCAGAAGUCAGGCCUUUCCAGGUACCCUGGCUUCCUCACACAUGAACUUCCUCCCACACUGUCUGUGAAGUUGACCUCAUCCUUUUAGGUCCCUCCCUCCUUGGGGUUCUGGAACUCAGUCUGUCCCCAGCGGACUCUCUACACCCACAGUGCCUCUCUCUAAAUCUCUCCCAUCUCCUUCAUACCUGGGACCUGGCUGUGCCCCAAGGGUGCUACCUGCCCCAUGGCUCUCUCCAGAUGAAUCUUUUGCCUCCUCAUCCCAGUCCCCAGGGUUCUGAGGUCAGGAGCCUGCCCUUCCUCAGUGCUGAUAGAAAGUGACUUUGAAGCAGGUCAUCCCAGCUACUGGGCUAAUGUCACCCAGGCAACUGAAUCUGUCUCAAAGCAAAAAAGUAAAAGGAGGAUUGGAGCUGUAGCUUCCAGGUAGCUUGGAGCACAUUCUAGACCAGCAGUUGUCCAUCAAUGACCCUUUCACAGGGACUACCUACGGCCAUCGGAAAACACAGAUGUUUACAUUACAAUUCCUAACAGGAGCAAAAUUACAGUUAUGAAGUAGCAAAGAAAAUACUUUUAUGGCUGUGGGUCACCACUACAUGGGGAACUGUAUUAAAGGGUUGCAGCAUUAGGAAGGCUGAGCAGCACUGCUCUAGAGCCUAGGUUCAACCCCCAGCAUUACACGUAAAUAAAUAAUAAAUAUUUUAAAAUAAGACGUCGCAUUCAUAUUCCAGACCGGAGGAGAAGAAAAGAAGCAGGAAAGAGACCUGUGUCAGCAGUGUUCAGCUUGUUUCUCUUUCUGGAACACUGCACGUCUUGGUCGUUUUCAUCUGAGAGGCAUCCUCCUAGGGCGGUGUUUAAUUCAGCCAGUCACGUAGACCCGUCAGACAAACUAGAGUUCUGUUGGCUGGUGAGAUGGCUUCUGGGGGAGAGGACUUGCCAGCAUGCCUGACGACUGGAGCCUGAUCCUCAGAACCAGUGUGGUGGAAGAGCUGACUCCUGUAAGUGGUCUUCUGGUCACCACACCUGUGCUGGGACAUGGGUGCAACCAUGUCGACCCCCUCUCACACACAAAUAAAGAUAAAAAUGAUUUGAAAUAGAAUUAAAUACUUCCUUUGUUCUCGUACUAACUUCUACCUACUAAACCACAUCUCUAUCUCCUAGCUGGCUCCUGGUUGGUUGGUAGUUUUUUGUUUGUUUGUUUGUUUGUUUUUGUCAACCUCUGACACAAGUUAGAGUUUCAGAAGAGGAAACACAAUUGAGAAAAUGCAUACGUAAGAGAGACUACAGGCAAGCCUGUGGGACAUUUUCUGAAUUAGUGAUUGAUGGGGGAGGGUCCGGCCCAUGGUGGGUGGUGCCAUCCCUGGGCUGGUGGCCCUGGGUUCUAUAAGAAAGCAGGCUGAGCAAGCCAUGAAGAGCAAGCCAGGAAGCAGCCCCCCUCCAUGGCCUCUUGCCUCAGCUCCUGCCUGCAGGCUCCUGCCUUGAGUUGCCCUGGCUUCCUUCAUGAUGGGCUGGGAUGUGGAAGUGUGAGAUGAAGCACACCUUCCCUCCCAAAGUUACUUUCAAUGCGGUGUUUUUAUCACAGUUAUAGAAACCCUGAGACACCACCCC